rnacentral:rRNA from 1 species
UACGUAGGGUGCGAGCGUUGUCCGGAAUUAUUGGGCGUAAAGGGCUCGUAGGCGGUUUGUCGCGUCGGGAGUGAAAACCCAGGGCUUAACCCUGGGCUGGCUUCCGAUACGGGCAGACUAGAGGUAUGCAGGGGAGAACGGAAUUCCUGGUGUAGCGGUGAAAUGCACAGAUAUCAGGAGGAACACCGGUGGCGAAGGCGGUUCUCUGGGCAUUACCUGACGCUGAGGAGCGAAAGUGUGGGGAGCGAACAGG